GACGAACGCUGGCGGCGUGCUUAACACAUGCAAGUCGAACGGAAAGGCCCUGCUUUUGUGGGGUUCUCGAGUGGCGAACGGGUGAGUAACACGUGAGUAACCUGCCCUUGACUUUGGGAUAACUUCAGGAAACUGGGGCUAAUACCGGAUAGGAGCUCCUGCUGCAUGGUGGGGGAUGGAAAGUUUCGGCGGUUGGGGAUGGACUCGCGGCUUAUCAGCUUGUUGGUGGGGUAGUGGCUUACCAAGGCUUUGACGGGUAGCCGGCCUGAGAGGGUGACCGGCCACAUUGGGACUGAGAUACGGCCCAGACUCCUACGGGAGGCAGCAGUGGGGAAUAUGGCACAAUGGGCGGAAGCCGGAGGCAGCAACGCCGCGUGCGGGAUGACGGCCUUCGGGUUGUAAACCGCUUUCGCCUGUGACGAAGCGUGAGUGACGGUAAUGGGUAAAGAAGCACCGGCUAACUACGUG
rnacentral:rRNA from 1 species